rnacentral:misc_RNA from 1 species
AAUAAAAACAAUAAAUUAACUUUCUCGUUUUUUUUUUUAACGACGCGAAUUAAAUUAUUUCAUUAAAUUCAUUUUCAUGGAUAACAAUAGUGAGUUGCAAAAUGAUGAUUUUAGAAAACAUUUACCAGGCGGUGAAACAACCGAACAUCAACUAACAGAAACUUUGCAUUCUGUGAGAACUGAUUUUAAACCGCUACCUGGUUUUGAUCCGAACAAAGAUGAUCUUGAAUAUUUUCGUGCUCAACAAGGAAUCGAUUGCGACGAAGUAUAUCCUGGAAUAUUUAUAGGAGAUGCGACCACGGCAAAAAAUAAAAAUUAUCUUGCAAGGAUCGGUAUAACACAUUUGCUUAAUGCUGCGGAAGGAAAGAAAUUUGGAUUUGUAAAUACUGACAGAAAUUAUUAUAGUAAUACAAGAAUAAAAUAUCUUGGAUUACCGCUGGCUGAUCUUCCAACUGUUGAUAUAAGCAAGUACUUCUACACUGCGGCAUCUUUCAUCGAUGAAGCUGUUUCUAAUAAUGAAAAUUUCUGCAGUUUGUACCAAAAAGACAUGAUACACAAAAAAAUUUUUUUUUUAAUCACAUCACGAACAAAAUAGAAUUUUACUUAUACAUAUGAAAGGAUCAAGUUGAAUUUAAAACAUUCAACAAUCUUAUUAUUAAGGAAGUUACCAAAGGAAUGGUAAAGUUUUUGUACACUGUAUGGUGGGAGUAUCUCGCAGUGCAACGUGCGUCUUAGCAUACUUGAUGAUAAAGAAGAAUAUGUUGGCUGUU